CCUACGGGUGGCAGCAGUGGGGGAUAUUGCUCAAUGGGGGGAACCCUGAAGCAGCGACGCCGCGUGGAGGAUGAAGGGUUUCGGCGUGUAAACUCCUUUUGUUAGGGAAGAUAAUGACGGUAUCUGGCGAAGAAGCCCCGGCUAACUCCGUGCCAGCAGCCGCGGUAAUACGGAGGGUGCAAGCGUUACUCGGAAUCACUGGGCGUAAAGAGCGCGUAGGCGGGAUAGCAAGUCAGGUGUGAAAGCCUGGGGCUUAACCAUAGAACUGCAUUUGAAACUGGUGUGCUAGAGUACGGGAGGGGCAGGCGGAAUUCGUGGUGUAGGGGUAAAAGGCGUAGAGAUGAAGAGGAACACCGAUUGCGAAGGCGGCCUGCUGGAACGGAACUGACGCUGAUGCGCGAAGGCGUGGGGAGCAAACAGGAUUAGAUACCCCGGUAGUC
rnacentral:rRNA from 1 species